UGGGGAAUCUUGGACAAUGGGCGCAAGCCUGAUCCAGCCAUGCCGCGUGCAGGAUGAAGGCCUUCGGGUUGUAAACUGCUUUUUGUACGGAACGAAAAGACUCCUUCUAAUAAAGGGGGUCCAUGACGGUACCGUAAGAAUAAGCACCGGCUAACUACGUGCCAGCAGCCGCGGUAAUACGUAGGGACCAAGCGUUGUUCGGAUUUACUGGGCGUAAAGGGCGCGUAGGCGGCAAUUCAAGUCAUCUGUGAAAUCUCCGGGCUUAACUCGGAACGGUCAGAUGAUACUGCUUUGCUAGAGUGCAGAAGGGGCAAUCGGAAUUCUUGGUGUAGCGGUGAAAUGCGUAGAUAUCAAGAGGAACACCUGAGGUGAAGACGGGUUGCUGGGCUGACACUGACGCUGAGGCGCGAAAGCCAGGGGAGCAAACAGGAUUAGAUACCCCAGUAGUCCCUGAGCGGGCUGGCAAGGCGCAU
rnacentral:rRNA from 1 species